AUAAACGAAGAGUCAAUUAAGACACUGUAAGCCGGCACGGCAGCACCGUCAUCGGACGCCGGAGAGAGUUUGUGAGCGGUUAACAUCUACGGCGACGACGAGCUUCAUACCUUUGCAUCAUUGCCUUUAAUUCCUAGGCUCAUCUGUAAGGCGGUCUCUACAAGAACGAAAGAGAUUAUUGAGCACAAGUGAUACAGUGAUGUUCUAUGAACUAGCAGCAACAAUAAGACAAGUUCAUGGGAAUGGCGCAACUUAGUUUAACAACAUGCAAACGCAAGCUUAUCAGAGUUUUUUUGGAUCCAAGCUAUGACCGUUGUUGUAUGGUUUUUUGUCAUGGUUGCCACGUUAAUAACCAAAUACAAAAGGCGGAGUUAUGCUUUACUUGAGGGAAUCCAUAAUGCAGCUAUCGAGCUUGGGGACAGCCUUAUUCGAGCAUCGACAACAAUGGUUCAAGCUGAAGUGGAUCUACAAAAGAAAACUUCCAUGGUCUAUUCUGAAAUUUUAAAAAUGCGUUCACUUUCGGAAGAUAGCACAUGAGCCAUCCGACGUGUUAACGUUUUGGGCCUUGGCGGAAAAGAGGCGAGAGAAUUGGGUGCGGUUUAUGUUAGAACAAUGAUCGGUUAUGAAAGAUGUGUGUAGACGAUGUUUUUGGGUUAUUAGUAAAGGAUGCAAUAUAUAAUCAAACAAUAUUUUUG